rnacentral:rRNA from 1 species
AACGAACGCUGGCGGCAGGCCUAACACAUGCAAGUCGAGCGCCCUUUCGGGGGAGCGGCGGACGGGUGAGUAACGCGUGGGAAUAUGCCCUUCUCUACGGAAUAGCCUCGGGAAACUGAGAGUAAUACCGUAUACGCCCUGUGGGGGACAGAUUUAUCGGGGAAGGAUUAGCCCGCGUUGGAUUAGGUAGUGGGUGGGGUAAUGGCCUACCAAGCCGACGAUCCAUAGCUGGUUUGAGAGGAUGAUCAGCCACACUGGGACUGAGACACGGCCCAGACUCCUACGGGAGGCAGCAGUGGGGAAUCUUAGACAAUGGGGGCAACCCUGAUCGAGCCAUGCCGCGUGAGUGAUGAAGGCCUUAGGGUUGUAAAGCUCUUUAAGCUGGGAAGAUAAUGACGGUACCAGCAGAAGAAGCCCCGGCUAACUCCGUG